GCUGGGCGUGGUGGCGCAUGCCUGUAAUCCUAGCCACUUAGGAAGCUGAGGCAGGAGAAUUGCUUGAACCCAGGAGGUGGAGGCUGCAGUGAGCCGAGAUCGCGUCACUGCAUUCUAGUCUGGGUGACAGAGCAAGACUCACUCUCUC
rnacentral:SRP_RNA from 1 species